rnacentral:rRNA from 1 species
CACCAGGCGCGAAAACUUUACAAUGCUGGCAACAGCGAUAAGGGGACCUCGAGUGCCAGGAUACAAUCUUGGCUGUCGCGAUGCCUAAAAAGCAUUGCAUAGCAAGGGCCGGGCAAGACCGGUGCCAGCCGCCGCGGUAACACCGGCGGCUCGAGUGGUAACCGCUAUUAUUGGGUCUAAAGGGUCUGUAGCCGGCCGGAUAAGUCUUUUGGGAAAUCCAGCCGCUCAACAGUUGGGCUUUCAGAAGAUACUGUUCGGCUCGAGACCGGGAGAGGUGAGAGGUACUUCAGGGGUAGGGGUGAAAUCUUGUAAUCCUUGAAGGACCACCAGUGGCGAAGGCGUCACACCAGAACGGAUCUGACGGCAAGGGACGAAAGCUAGGGGCACGAACCGGAUUAGAUACCCGGGUAGUCCUAGCCGUAAACGAUACUCGCUAGGUGUCAGCCACGGUGCGACCGUGGUUGGUGCCGUAGGGAAGCCGUGAAGCGAGCCACCUGGGAAGUACGGCCGCAAGGCUGAAACUUAAAGGAAUUGGCGGGGGAGCAC